rnacentral:miRNA from 1 species
GUAUUUCAACCAUGCUAUC